AGAAAACUACUUGUGCCGAUACUGUAUCUAUAGUUUGCCUAUAAAAAUUCACCAGAGAAAUAUCUUGUUCAUCAUUAUUUAGUGAGCAUGAAUGACAGGCAGGAUGUGGAAGGGGUAAUGGUGCAGGUGGAUUGUUAAAUAUUCAAGCAAAUGAGUCAAGAGGACUUUCCUUGCUCUUAGGGGCUUUGAUAUCUUUGUUUUAUCAUGUCAGUUUUAUCUCUGACUUUUGUUUACAUUUUCUUUUUUUUUUUUUGCCUAUUUCAUACUUUUAUAGAAACUUCU
rnacentral:lncRNA from 1 species